rnacentral:snoRNA from 15 species
GUCCAGGAUACAAUGAUGUCAUAGUUUCCAAGCACAUAUCUGAUUAUUAAAUGUUGGAAUACAUCUGUUUCUGAGUUUUCUGGAC